AUAUUAACUACUUCCUGUAGGUCGUGACGUUUUCUCCUGGUUUUUGCAUGCCGGGAUUUAAAAUACAAUCAUUAAAAGUCUUGGUUUUUAACUAUAUUUUAACGUAAUCGUAAGCGCGCCGAUGACUAAUGCUAUAUCUAAUAACCAUCCGAUAAUAAGAAAAUAAAACGCACAGACGUGCAGUUGUACACAUUCAUGAGAUAAUUUUUCUAUAUUUCCCUAAAUAUUUCGAUUUAUUUUUGUAGACAGCACAAGAAAUUUUUAUUAUUAUUAUUUUGCUUUAAUAUAUGCUUUUUCAUACUGAUAAAGUGAAUAAAUUGAAGUAUAUAACUUUAAACUGUUAAGACAAUAUAUAGGUUUACGCUUAUUGACCUUUUACUAUCUACGUUAUUACUAGGUUGAUGCGAUGUGUGUAUUAUUCUCCGACAAUACUUGUGAAGGUAAAAUGUUAUUUGCAGAUUGGUAAUUAGCUUGGCCUCUAGGGCACUCCGUGCCAGGUGCGACUGUCUAUUCGGAUCAGUGGAUUAUAAGACAGGAGGUCGCGUUUAAUACACAAAUUUAAAAUACAUUUUCAAGGUGUUGACAAAUACAAGUGAAUCGCCGUGGAAUUAUUUAAUUAUAUUUGAUGCUAUUAUUUUAUUUGAAUUCAAAUAAGUAACUAAACUAAAAAAUGAACCGGUUAAAGUAUGGAAAUUAAAUUUAGUUUUCGGAAUAAAAUUAUAUACACUCUUAUGAUUUAUUUAUGUUUUUUAAAAAGGGAAAAUAGAACUAGUUUUACAAAAGCAUUUUAAUUGUCUUAUAAAGGCAAAAAAUGUACGGGAACACUUAAAUUUAGACAUUUGAAAGCCAUGAUCAAAGAAAGGUGUACCUGUAUUACAUUUUUACUUCUAGCGUUUGGCAUUAGAUUUUAGCUGAGACUACUAUAACACAGUCUCAGAUUUAAGUGAGGUCGGAAGGGUUAAUCUUAUGAAAAAUAAUUAUCUGAUAUCAUUUGGAUUAUGGAAGGAGCUAUACUAUAAAAUACAUACAUAAAUUUAUUACCAAUACACUCGAGAUCAAAGGUUGUUAAUUUUGCUGUUCAAGUUAACUUUUACUCACAUAUUUUUAUAUUUUGAUUUGAGCGUGCUUGUUUUUAUAUGACAGUUUUUUCAGUUCUCUUAUCUCGUUAGACGAAAGCAAACCUGCACAGUAUAUUCUGCAUUUGUAUAGUCCGAAGUUUACAAAUUGAUAUUCUUAUUUCACAUGUAAAAUGAAUGAACAGUUAUUAAAAUAAAACGGCAUUCAUUUCAAAAUAUACCACUGUUUUCUAGAGUGAAAAUGAAGUCACAUAUGUGAGGAUAAAAACUAGACGAAUUACUUAUAUGAAAUAACGGGACUAAAAUUAUAUAUAAAAACGGAAGAAUAGGUGCUGAAAUAUAAAUAAAAGUAAAAUUGAAAUUAGAUAACAGUGGGAUAAUCUAUACGUAUUCUUACAAUCACUCUUAAAAAAAUUGUUAGAUUUUGUACACAG
rnacentral:lncRNA from 1 species